CUGCACAGAUGGCUAGUCUGAUUCUGUGUAGAUUAUUAUAGGCUACAUUUACAAAUGCAGCAAACGUAUUUAAGUUUGCCAUUUAACCAUUGAUCAAAUUACAGCACUGGCUAUUACCAGCAUAAAUGUUACC